rnacentral:rRNA from 1 species
CCUACGGGAGGCAGCAGUAGGGAAUCUUCCGCAAUGGACGAAAGUCUGACGGAGCAACGCCGCGUGAGCGAUGAAGGCCUUCGGGUCGUAAAGCUCUGUUGUUAGGGAAGAACAAGUAUCGUUCGAAUAGGGCGGUACCUUGACGGUACCUAACCAGAAAGCCACGGCUAACUACGUGCCAGCAGCCGCGGUAAUACGUAGGUGGCAAGCGUUAUCCGGAAUUAUUGGGCGUAAAGCGCGCGCAGGUGGUUCCUUAAGUCUGAUGUGAAAGCCCCCGGCUCAACCGGGGAGGGUCAUUGGAAACUGGGGAACUUGAGUGCAGAAGAGGAUAGUGGAAUUCCAAGUGUAGCGGUGAAAUGCGUAGAGAUUUGGAGGAACACCAGUGGCGAAGGCGACUGUCUGGUCUGUAACUGACACUGAGGCGCGAAAGCGUGGGGAGCAAACAGGAUUAGAUACCCUGGUAGUCCACGCCGUAAACGAUGAGUGCUAAGUGUUGGGGGGUUUCCGCCCCUCAGUGCUGCAGCUAACGCAUUAAGCACUCCGCCUGGGGAGUACGGUCGCAAGACUGAAACUCAAAUGAAUUGACGGGG